GAUGAACGCUGGCGGCGUGCCUAAUACAUGCAAGUCGAGCGAACAGACGAGGAGCUUGCUCCUCUGACGUUAGCGGCGGACGGGUGAGUAACACGUGAAUAACCUACCUAUAAGACUGAGAUAACUUCGGGAAACCGGAGCUAAUACCGGAUAAUAUAUUGAACCGCAUGGUUCAAUAGUGAAAGACGGUUUUGCUGUCACUUAUAGAUGGAUCCGCGCCGCAUUAGCUAGUUGGUAAGGUAACGGCUUACCAAGGCAACGAUGCGUAGACGACCUGAGAGGGUGAUCGGUCACACUGGAACUGAGACACGGUCCAGACUCCUACGGGAGGCAGCAGUAGGGAAUCUUCCGCAAUGGGCGAAAGCCUGACGGAGCAACGCCGCGUGAGUGAUGAAGGUCUUCGGAUCGUAAAACUCUGUUAUUAGGGAAGAACAAAUGUGUAAGUAACUAUGCACGUCUUGACGGUACCUAAUCAGAAAGCCACGGCUAACCACGUGCCAGCAGCCGCGGUAA
rnacentral:rRNA from 1 species